rnacentral:tRNA from 1 species
CUGGCGUGGCGGACUGGAACUGCUGGCGGCGCUGCUGCUGCUGAGGUGUGCGGUUCUGCUCGUGGCUCCAGGC